rnacentral:tRNA from 1 species
GGAGAGAUGGCCGAGUGGCUGAAGGCGCUCCCCUGCUAAGGGAGUAUGGGCUAAACACCCAUCGAGGGUUCGAAUCCCUCUCUCUCCGCCA